rnacentral:rRNA from 1 species
UACGUAGGGUGCAAGCGUUGUCCGGAAUUAUUGGGCGUAAAGAGCUCGUAGGCGGUCUGUCGCGUCGGCUGUGAAAACCCGAGGCUCAACCUCGGGCCUGCAGUCGAUACGGGCAAGCUAGAGUACUGCAGGGGAGACUGGAAUUCCUGGUGUAGCGGUGAAAUGCGCAGAUAUCAGGAGGAACACCAGUGGCGAAGGCAGCAUACUGGCCGGCAUCUGACGCUGAGGCGCGAAAGCGUGGGUAGCAAACAGG